GAUGAACGCUGGCGGCGUGCCUAAUACAUGCAAGUCGAGCGAACGGACGAGAAGCUUUCUUCUCUGAUGUUAUCGGCGGACGGGUGAGUAACACGUGGAUAACCUACCUAUAAGACUGGGAUAACUUCGGGAAACCGGAGCUAAUACCGGAUAAUAUUUUGAACCGCAUGGUUCAAAAGUGAAAGACGGUCUUGCUGUCACUUAUAGAUGGAUCCGCGCUGCAUUAGCUAGUUGGUAAGGUAACGGCUUACCAAGGCAACGAUGCAUAGCCGACCUGAGAGGGUGAUCGGCCACACUGGAACGGAGCAACGGUCCAGACUCCUACGGGAGGCAGCAGUAGGGAAUCUUCCGCAAUGGGCGAAAGCCUGACGGAGCAACGCCGCGUGAGUGAUGAAGGUCUUCGGAUCGUAAAACUCUGUUAUUAGGGAAGAACAUAUGUGUAAGUAACUGUGCACAUCUUGACGGUACCUAAUCAGAAAGCCACGGCUAACUACGUG
rnacentral:rRNA from 1 species